ensembl:lncRNA
CUUGAAUUAAUUAUGAACAUGAUUAAGAAAGCUAAAAUCUCAGGAGCCAGUCUCUCAUUACCCAUUCACUCUUAGGGAUUGCUUUCAUUCAGGGAAGGAGAGGCGAAAAAGCCUUCCAGCAGAGCCCACUCCGGCUCAGCUCUUCUCCCUGUGUGCCUGUCCCCUUGUCUCUGCUGCCGGGCCAACUGACCAAGCCUCCGACAGACAGACCGGCCGGCCGGCCGCCAGCCCGCCCGCCGCCUGGACGGCUCUCUUGCACUCAUGCCUGUUAUGGUGAUGUGGCCAAGCUCAGCUAGCUGCUUCGUGGCCUCUGACGUUUGCAUGGAAAAGAGAGGAUGUGCUCAACCUUCCUGUUCUACACCUGAGUUCAAGCUCUGGGGUCUUGACCCUCUUAAAAAAAGAAACACUCGAGGGUUCAGACAGCCAGCAGACUGGAUUUAGUCCAGACCUGAGUCAGUCACGGUGCAGAUCUUUCUUUCUUCACUUGAGAUAACCAGACAGGACGACACAAUCUUCCGUGAUCCAGGAAGCAACCUCAAACCAUUAAAACAGACAGAAGUCUUUGGAACAAGUCAUGACCGUUCGCCUCCUGUUAUAUGCAGGGAACACAGCAACCUCUUCUGGACAAAAGUGAAAGUAGCAGACAGUGUAAAGAAGCCAGCAUAACCGAAACUCAUAAAAGGCCUCGGCUUCAAGAAUGGACAAAGCCAGGAUAGGACAUGCAAAGUUUGGCUUCAGAUGAGCCCUGGCAGCCACAACGAACACAGCCAAGAGCAUGGUAACCUUUUCACCCACAUACGUAAGAUUCUGAUUUGAAAACACAAAAUUGAAGCUUUUACUAAAAGAAAGAAUGGAUCUUUUAAACAGCGUGAGUAAAGAUAUUGCACAGACAAGUAUCAGACUCAAAUAUCACCAUCAAAGAAUGAUCAGAAAACAUUUAGCGCAUGACUUGAAAUAUUACCAACAUCGCCAAGAGAAACCAAACAACUUAAGGUUGGAUAAAUGACACGCUUACAUGAACGCUCUGACUGGGAUGUAAAAGAAUAAUUUUGUCGCCGCUAGAAAACAUAUGAAGAAAUGCCAGUUUUGAAAAAUGUCAUCUUUAAAAGGGAAAUCUAAAUGUCAGAGAGACAGAUACUUUACACAUAGAGAGCGCUGCCUUCUGGGCGUAACACAGAAAGGCGUGAGAAUAAUAUUUUUUUCCCAGUUGAAAUGAACUGCAAUUACCCGUCAUCAGGCACAGAAAGCAGCACGCUUCACAUCCACAGUCACAUCGCCUGGAGAGGAGCGUGGUCACUGUUUGCAACAUUAGUCAGGAAAUCUGAGGAGGAAAGCACAACAAAAGAAAGAAAUGUGUUUUUGUUAUGCCACAGGAAAAAAUAGAGACACUUUGUUCCAAUGUGCGAUAUGUUACUAAAAAAUAUAAUGAAUUAAUAUCAAAAACAGAGCAAUUGUUCAAGUACUAACAGAAAAUUAAUCUGCCAGCAUUUUGAACAAAAAUUUUAUG